UACGUAGGGUGCGAGCGUUUGUCCGGAAUUACUGGGCGUAAAGAGCUCGUAGGUGGUUUGUCGCGUUUGUUCGUGAAAACCGGGGGCUUAACCCUCGGCGUGCGGGCGAUACGGGCAGACUUGAGUACUGCAGGGGAGACUGGAAUUCCUGGUGUAGCGGUGGAAUGCGCAGAUAUCAGGAGGAACACCGGUGGCGAAGGCGGGUCUCUGGGCAGUAACUGACGCUGAGGAGCGAAAGCGUGGGGAGCGAACAGG
rnacentral:rRNA from 1 species